rnacentral:rRNA from 1 species
GCUUGUCUCAAAGAUUAAGCCAUGCAUGUCUAAGUGUAAAUAAGUCUAUACUGUGAAACUGCGAAUGGCUCAUUAAAUCAGUUAUCGUUUAUUUGAUGAUCUCUUACUACUUGGAUAACCGUAGUAAUUCUAGAGCUAAUACAUGCACAAAAUCCCGACUUACGAAGGGAUGUAUUUAUUAGAUACAAACCAACAUCGUGGUGAUUCAUAAUAACUGUUCGAAUCGCAUGCUUCGGCAGGCGAUAGUUCAUUCAAAUUUCUGCCCUAUCAGCUUUCGACGGUAGUGUAGUGGACUACCGUGGCGUUAACGGGUAACGGAGAAUUAGGGUUCGAUUCCGGAGAGGGAGCCUGAGAAAUGGCUACCACAUCCAAGGAAGGCAGCAGG